GCCGAUGUAGCUCAAUUGGCAGAGCAGCUGACUUGUAAUCAGCAGGUUGCGGGUUCAAGUCCCACCAUCGGCUCCA
rnacentral:tRNA from 2 species